rnacentral:sRNA from 1 species
UAUUCUCAUAAAUACUUAAUUAAAUCAACCAAUAAAGCAACAAUUAAACCGCAAGUCAAAAAUACUAUUUUAUGAAUAAAUAAAUAAUUCAACCAACAAAACCAAGAAUAACUAACAAUCCUAACACAAUCCUAACCGGUUCCAAUAACCAAAACACUAAAAUAAACAAAUGAGUUCGUAGAUCAUCCUCUCUUCCUUGCUAUGAUUCCACGAUCACACUUUAUCUUUACCUGCACCAAAAAGAAAGAGAUGCGUAAGUAUUAUCAUAAAUACUUAGUGAGGCGAUCCUCCCAUCUACGAGCUAUACACACAAGCAAAUAAAAGGGGUAUAACCACAAACAUAAACAAACCAGUCACUGAACACUUCACCCAAAAACACAUUCACCACAUCUACAUAUCAUCACACAAAACAAAUCAUACAACCCAAUCGCUCAGAUAAGCUCAUGGUCACGCACUCACCUUAACAAAUUGAUUCUAACAACAAUUAAACCCAGGAGAGACUCUCCUUGCGUCUGAAACAGUCCAGAAACGUCCUACAACAAGUCACAACCAAAAGCAACCUUGAAGCAAACUGGACAUGAAAAACAGAAACAAACAGUCUCAAAGACGAAACCCUAAAAUACAAACCAACCGUUAACUAUUAAAUCCCUCCGGUGAAACGUUAGUCUUAGACAUCACAAAGCUUCCCACAAAAACUCGUGCCGAUCGGAAACCAGAUGAGACUACGAUCUCAGUUAAAAUCCUCGCUGGUCCUAAUUCGCGUAUGAGAAAACGUGUCUCACAAAACUUUGACCACGAUUUGAUAUGUCGAAACCGUUUCCUCCCAAACCCUAACGAUUCUGGUUCUUUUCCUUCUCUCUCUUUUUCUCCUUUAUAAAAUGAAAAGUGGCUAACUAAAGCCCUAAUUUUGAGUUUUCUUCUUUUAUAGGCACACUCUAGGGUUUCCAAUUAACCCAACCGAUUAAACCGGACGAUUUAAAUACAAAUCCUAACCGAUUUUCCGGUUCACGGGCUUUACAAUAAUUAUUUAUCGAAUGAACUUUUAAAUAUACUUGAAAUGUUUUAGGUCAACGCCAUAAGAGGAGAGA